rnacentral:rRNA from 1 species
AUUGAACGCUGGCGGCAGGCCUAACACAUGCAAGUCGAACGAGUAGCGGACGGGUGGGUAAUGUCUGGGAAACUACCUGAUGGAGGGGGAGAACUACUGAAAACGGUAGCUACUACCGCAUACUAUCGGAUGUGCCUGGAUGGGAUUAGCUAGUAGGUGGGGUAAAGGCUCACCUAGACGACGAUCCCUAGCUGGUCUGAGAGGAUGACCAGCCACACUGGAACUGAGACACGGUCCAGACUCCUACGCGAGGCAGCAGUGGGGAAUAUUGCACAAUGGGCGCAAGCCUGAUGCAGCCAUGCCGCGUGUAUGAAGAAGGCCUUCGGGUUGUAAAGUACUUUCAGCGGGGAGGCGUUACCCGCAGAAGAAGCACCGGCUAACUCCGUGCCAGCAGCCGCGGUAAUUC